GAUGAACGCUGGCGGCGUGCCUAAUACAUGCAAGUCGAGCGAACGGACGAGAAGCUUUCCUCUCUGAUGUUAGCGGCGGACGGGUGAGUAACACGUGGAUAACCUACCUAUAAGACUGGGAUAACUUCGGGAAACCGGAGCUAAUACCGGAUAAUAUUUUGAACCGCAUGGUUCAAAAGUGAAAGACGGUCUUGCUGUCACUUAUAGAUGGAUCCGCGCUGCAUUAGCUAGUUGGUAAGGUAACGGCUUACCAAGGCAACGAUGCAUAGCCGACCUGGGGGGGUGAUCGGCCAAACUGGAACUGAGAAACGGUCCAGACUCCUACGGGAGGCAGCAGUAGGAAAUCUUCCGCAAUGGGCGAAAGCCUGACGGAGCAACGCCGCGUGAGUGAUGAAGGUCUUCGGAUCGUAAAACUCUGUUAUUAGGGAAGAACAUAUGUGGAAGUAACUGUGCACAUCUGGACGGUACCUAAGCAGAAAGCCACGGCUAACUACGU
rnacentral:rRNA from 1 species